GGCCGCGGGAAUUCGAUUUCUGGUUGAUCCUGCCAGACCCGACUGCUAUCAGAGUGGGACUAAGCCAUGCGAGUCAACGUAGUAAUACGUGGCAUACGGCUCAGUAACACGUAGUCAACAUGCCCAGGGGACGUGGAUAACCUCGGGAAACUGAGGAUAAACCGCGAUAGGCCAUAAUUCCUGGAAUGGUUUAUGACUGAAACCUACAUGGCCCCUGGAUUGGACUGCGGCCGAUCAGGCUGUUGGUGAGGUAAUGGCCCACCAAACCUGUAACCGGUACGGGCUCUGAGAGGAGAAGCCCGGAGAUGGGCACUGAGACAAGGGCCCAGGCCCUAUGGGGCGCAGCAGGCGCGAAACCUCUGCAAUAGGCGAAAGCCUGACAGGGUUACUCUGAGUGGUUCCCGCUAAGGGGAUCUUUUGGCACCUCUAAAAAUGGUGCAGAAUAAGGGGUGGGCAAGCCUGGUGUCAGCCGCCGCGGUAAUACCAGCACCCCGAGUGGUCGGGACGAUUAUUGGGCCUAAAGCAUCCGUAGCCGGUCAUGCAAGUCUUCCGUUAAAUCCACCCGCUCAACGGUUGGGCUGCGGAGGAUACUACGUGGCUAGGAGGCGGGAGAGGCAAGCGGUACUCAGUGGGUAGGGGUAAAAUCCUUUGAUCCAUUGAAGACCACCAGUGGCGAAGGCGGCUUGCCAGAACGCGCUCGACGGUGAGGGAUGAAAGCUGGGGGAGCAAACCGGAUUAGAUACCCGGGUAGUCCCAGCUGUAAACGAUGCAGACUCGGUGAUGGGAUGGCCUCGAGCUAUCCCAGUGCCGCAGGGAAGCCGUUAAGUCUGCCGCCUGGGGAGUACGGUCGCAAGACUGAAACUUAAAGGAAUUGGCGGGGGAGCACCACAAGGGGUGAAGCCUGCGGUUCAAUUGGAUUCAACGCCGGGAAUCACUAGUGAAUUC
rnacentral:rRNA from 1 species